AGAGGUUUAGCUCAGUGGUGCCAGCACCUGCCUGGCAAGCACAAGGUCCUGAGUUCAAUCCCCAGUGCCUCAG
rnacentral:tRNA from 1 species